rnacentral:rRNA from 1 species
AUUGAACGCUGGCGGCGGGCCUAACACAUGCAAGUCGAGCGAGAGGCGGACGGGUGAGUACUGUAUGGGGACUGCCCGAUAGAGGGGGAUCACUACUGGAAACGGUAGCUAAUACCGCAUACUAUCGGAUAACCCAUAUGGGAUUAGCGAGUAGGUGAGGUAAUGGCUCACCUAGGCGACGAUCCCUAGCUGGUCUGAGCGGAUGAUCAGCCAAACGUGGACGGAGACACGGCCCAGACUCCGACGGAGGCAUCAGUGGGGAAUAUUGCACAAUGGGAGCAAGCCUGAUGCAGCCAUGCCGGGUGUAUGAAGAAGGCCCUAGGGUUGUAAAGUACUUGCAGUCGGGAGGCGUUACCGACAGAAGAAGCACCGGCUAACUCCGUGCCAGCAGCCGCGGUAAUUC